rnacentral:rRNA from 1 species
UACGUAGGGUGCAAGCGUUGUCCGGAAUUUAUUGGGCGUAAAAGAGCUCGUAGGCGGUCUGUCGCGUCUGGUGUGAAAAUCCAGGGCUUAACCCUGGACCUGCAUCGGGUACGGGCAGACUAGAGUGCGGUAGGGGAGAUCGGAAUUCCUGGUGUAGCGGUGAAAUGCGCAGAUAUCAGGAGGAACACCGGUGGCGAAGGCGGAUCUCUGGGCCGUAACUGACGCUGAGGAGCGAAAGCAUGGGGAGCGAACAGG